GACGAACGCUGGCGGCGUGCUUAACACAUGCAAGUCGAACGGAAAGGCCCUGCUUUUGUGGGGUGCUCGAGUGGCGAACGGGUGAGUAACACGUGAGUAACCUGCCCUUGACUUUGGGAUAACUUCAGGAAACUGGGGCUAAUACCGGAUAGGAGCUCCUGCUGCAUGGUGGGGGUUGGAAAUUUUCGGCGGUUGGGGAUGGACUCGCGGCUUAUCAGCUUGUUGGUGGGGUAGUGGCUUACCAAGGCUUUGACGGGUAGCCGGCCUGAGAGGGUGACCGGCCACAUUGGGACUGCGAGACGGCCCAGACUCCUACGGGGGGCAGCAGUGGGAAAUAUUGCACAAUGGGCGGAAGCCUGAUGCAGCAACGUCGCGUGCGGGAUGACGGCCUUCGGGGUGUAAACCGCUUUCGCCUGUGACGAAGCGUGAGUGACGGUAAUGGGUAAAGAAGCACCGGCUAACUACGUG
rnacentral:rRNA from 1 species